AUUUGGGCUGCUGUACCUGACAUGGAAGAGGGACCAUACUGGCCCAACAUGCUGGGCUUGCUUCCUGGUGAAUGUUCUACAAAUGCACCUGCAAAGAAACUUGAACUCAGGGCUGCUGCAAAGUGGACCAGAGUCUUGGGAGCCGAGACCAUGGAGUCUGAGGAAUUCCCUCACUCAAAUGGAUUGCUCCCAUAUUCCUAGGUCCAGUGAAGGAAGGCAAGAUACUGGCUUCCAUGGAAUGGAGAGGUGGGACUGGUGGAUGAUCCCGAUUUCUUGUCUUCUGCAAUGUCAGCCUGGGCGCCAGGGACCUCUUGUGAAAGAAGCCCUCAACAGAGCUCUCCAUAGCUCACAAUGUGCUAUAAUUGGACGACAAUGUUCGCACACAUAUUUCUGAGCCUGGAGGGUUUUCCCCCACCUCUCCAUGUCUGAUGGCACAUCAAGGAAUACCGAUGAUUUCAGCUAAACUGGAUGCUUACCCACUCCUGUUGGCUUUCUCCCAGGAGAUUUUGCCCAAGGAAGAGACUAUGUUGGCUUGAAAGUGUGCUUCUCAUGAACUUUCAGUGGCAA